AGUGACGUCAAAUACAUCAUGCCCCUUAUGACCUGGGCUACAAACGUGAUACAAUGGCUGGAACAAAGGGAUGCGAAGCAGUGAUGUGGAGCGAAACCCAUAAAAACAGUCUCAGUUCGGAUUGAAGUCUGCAACUCGACUUCAUGAAGUCGGAAUCGCUAGUAAUCGCGGAUCAGAACGCCGCGGUGAAUACGUUCUCGGGGUUU
rnacentral:rRNA from 1 species